UACGUAGGGUGCGAGCGUUUGUCCGGAAUUAUUGGGCGUAAAGAGCUCGUAGGCGGUUUGUCGCGUCGGCCGUGAAAACUUGGGGCUUAACCCCGAGCCUGCGGUCGAUACGGGCAGACUUGAGUUCGGCAGGGGAGACUGGAAUUCCUGGUGUAGCGGUGAAAUGCGCAGAUAUCAGGAGGAACACCGGUGGCGAAGGCGGGUCUCUGGGCCGAUACUGACGCUGAGGAGCGAAAGCGUGGGGAGCGAACAGG
rnacentral:rRNA from 1 species